CCUACGGGUGGCAGCAGUGGGGGAUAUUGCACAAUGGGGGGAACCCUGAUGCAGAGACGCCGCGUGGGUGAAGAAGAGCCUCGGCGCGGAAAGCCCUGUCAGCAGGGAAGAAAAGGACGGUACCUGAAGAAGAAGCCCCGGAUCACUACGGGCCAGGAGCCUCGGUAAUACGUAGGGGGAAAGCGUUAUCCGGCUCUACUGGGUGUAACGGGGGCGCAGACGGCGAGGCCAGCCAGGAGUGAAAGCCCGGGGCCCAACCCCGGGACUGCUCUUGGAACUGCGUGGCUGGAGUGCAGGAGGGGCAGGCGGAAUUCCUGUUGUAGCGGUCAACUGCGUAGAUAUC
rnacentral:rRNA from 1 species